CCGCGUGUGUGAAUAAGGCCUUCGGGUUGUAAAGCACUUUAAGUUGGGAAGAAAAAACUUCAAUUAAUACUUGAAGUCUUGACGGUACCGACAGAAUAAGCACCGGCUAACUCUGUGCCAGCAGCCGCGGUAAUACAGAGGGUGCAAGCGUUAAUCGGAAUUACUGGGCGUAAAGCGAGCGUAGGUGGCUUGAUAAGUCAGAUGUGAAAGCCCCGGGCUUAACCUGGGAACGGCAUCUGAUACUGUUAGGCUAGAGUAGGUGAGAGGAAGGUAGAAUUCCAGGUGUAGCGGUGAAAUGCGUAGAGAUCUGGAGGAAUACCGAUGGCGAAGGCAGCCUUCUGGCC
rnacentral:rRNA from 1 species